AUUGAACGCUGGCGGCAGGCCUAACACAUGCAAGUCGAACGAGUGGCGGACGGGUGAGUAAUGUCUGGGAAACUGCCUGAUGUAGGGGGAUAACUACUGGAAACGGUAGCUAAUACCGCAUACCAUCAGAUGUGCCCAGAUGGGAUUAGCUUGUUGGUGGGGUAACAGCUCACCAAGGCGACGAUUCCUAGCUGGUCUGAGAGGCUGACGAGCCAACCUGGAAAUGGGAAAAGGUCCAGACUCCGACGGGAGGGAGCAGUGGGGAAGAUUGGACAAGGGGCGAAAGCCUGAUGCAGCCAUGCCGCGUGUAUGAAGAAGGCCUUCGGGUUGUAAAGUACUUUUAGCGUGGAGGCGUUACCCGCAGAAGAAGCCCCGGCUAACUACGUGCCAGCAGCCGCGGUAAUUC
rnacentral:rRNA from 1 species